GCGCCCCUCACGCGCGGUCGGGAACCUUCCCGAAGGACAGGCAAGAAAUAUCUAUAUUGCGGUGAAAAAGGUAGCAUGCCUGCCGUUGCCCGGCUCCCCAACCAGAACCUUGGGGCGAAAACCCCUUUCUUCCACCGCCAGCGCAAGGCCUACUCCCGCUGCCGCCGAGACGUCGCCGCCGGUGAGUUGUUGGCUUGAUGGCCAUGCCCUCUGUCGCGAUUUCCAUUCUUUGUGCUCCGGCGCUCAUCGCGUUUCUCCAUUUCAGGCCAGGGAGGAGCUCCAUCCUUUCUACCGUGCUGAAUCUUUCCCCGUUCUCUCCCGUAAGCGCGUCCUCGUGAUCUUAUUCGUGUUCCUACUCCUGCUAGAUGUGCGCUCUCGUUGCUUUAACUUUCCUCUUUUUCUUUCUUGAUCAGGUCGACCGGAACGGCGAUCUGACAUCGACCCGCUCUGGACGUGGACGCACCUGUGGUCACCGUGCGAGGACGAAGAUCUGAGUCCCCUUCGUCCGUCUGCAGCUCUCCGCCCAGCUUUUCUUUGUCUGGGUACCCUCUCGGUCUCCCUUUAUGACGGAUUAAUUUGAAUCCAGUGCUUUGCUUUCUUGGAUGUACCACUGCCGCUGCAGCACAUCGCUUCGUGUAGACUAGAUAGAGACGGUAAGUGCCGUCCGCUAGGUGGUUUCGCGGGUUCCUGAUCGUAGCGUGCUCUUUGCCAAGCCGUAGAUCUGCGCCGCUGUGUAUUCCGUCGCCGGCGAGAGCUCCGUCGACUUGAGAUCUUGUUCUGUUCUCGGCGCUUGUAGUUUCGGAAUAGCCAGAGGACAGUUUCUUAUGUUCACCUGAUAGCGAUUUGAGUCCUUUUUGAUACACAUCAUUGUGCAGCUCUAUCCGCUGUCCGCCAUUGAAACCCGAAUGAUCGAUUUCCUGCGGUCUUCUUCGUCGUUUUUGUCGAGCUCUGCCGCUCGCCAAACCCCGGCGGAGAGGCUCCUUGUCCCGGCGCGCCGCCGGGGGAGCGGUGCCGCCCGUUGUCAGUAGGAGCAGAGCCCAGCUAGCUUUAGCUGCGAGCUUGUUUUUCAUUUUGCGUAUGCCCACUCUGUCUGGAAUCUGGCCCCGUCUAACAUUCACUCUGUAAAUAAAUAAAAAAAAUCCUCAUUAUUGAUUUUUAAAAUCAUGAAGGUCAAUGUAAACAUGUUUAACCUUUUAACAUCUUUAUUAGGGAAAUCUCGUUAGGACUUUAAUUUCACCUGAUAAUCUUUCACACACAAAAAGAAAAAGAAAUCUUCUCUUGCUCUUAUUUCGCCCGUUGAUUUCUAUAUUCUCUUUAUGAAUAACAGGAACUGGACGGAGGAAAAAAAAAGAGUUUCAGUUUUAAAUUAAUCUGAAAAUAAAUUAUGACAAUGACGAAAUUUGCGUACAGAAAACGAACAUAUCUAAAUAUGCUCAUCAUGUGAUUUAAGAUAAAAUAUUGCAACAGCAAGAUCAACCAUAACCAGAUAUACUAGGUACGAAAGAUAUAGUUAGAGACAGAAAACCGUACGUUUCUUGUCUGAUCGGAAUAACUGGGUAAAGAAGAUGACGGCGACGAUCAGCACCUCCGCGCGCUUGAUGAUGAUGAGUCGCGCCGUACUGAUGAGGAGGAAGACGGGAUGCGGUGAUGAGGACGUAAAGGAUGACGAUGUGGAAGCGUUCGAGCAGUCGCGCAGAGCGCUUCCCAAAAAACUUAUUCGCUCUCUCCCGGUGCAGGAUCACUGAGAUCGAGGUUCUGGAGACCUGCUCUUCUGAUCGCCGGUGCACGCCGACGAACGGGACGAAGAAGCGUACGUGGCGGCAGCAGGCAGGUUGAGGCGUGUUGUGCGUCUUGUGUGUUAGAUUUUUUUUCCUGUGGCGGCACCCGCGCGUAUUUAUAAGGAGAAACCGCUAGGAUUUUUAGUGUCCCAAAAGCCAAGUCGAUUACGAGUUCCCAAAAUUUCGCGCGUGAAAUCCGUAACAUAUUCGAAGUGGCAAAACAAAUCUGCAAAAAGAAGCUGCGUGCCCGCAAGGGUUGGACCGGAUUUUGGCGGACCAUUCACGUCGCGCGUUCGCGCCCUUCACCCGAAGCCCGUGCCCGGCCCGGCGAGGCAAGUCGAGCGAGUGUGCGCGCGUGUUCUUCCUUUUUCCUCUCACCCACACUUGCAAGAGCAUGGAGAGCAUCUAACUAUUUAAGUUGGAUUUCCUCCACCUCCACUAAAAAGGUGGGACUAACUUAUUGCCAUGCACUUUUGCACUAAUGGGCUUUUAAGAUUUUAUUGGAAUUAUUUAGAUUUACAUGGGCUGUGCCCAAAUAUUACAACAAUCCCCACCAGAUCUCAAAGUUUCAUUAUAACUUUGCCUCAAUCCACUGUUGUUUGAUAUACCAGUGUUUCAAUGGAGACUAUUAAGUUGAACCUCCAUCUAGAACAACAAGUUACACUCAUUCACAACUUAGAACAAUGAACUAAGCCUUGAAUUGCAAGUUUUGUGCAAGUGAGUUUCACUUACAGUCAAACUGAUACUUGACCUCCAGUAGGCUACUUCGCGGUUGGAGCAUAUAGGUCGUACUCCUUGGUCUCUUCAUGAGCUUAAUAGAGAUCAUCUGAAUCUCAUAGACUGCGACCAUCCAACAGUCGGGCUCACAUAGUUGUAUUCGUUUUGCAGGAUAACGUCUUUGCUAAUUAAAGCCAACAGAAUACAUUAAGACCAAUGCCAACCUGCCAUGCAGUAAUCGAGAGUAUUGCAUCCUUUUUCUCGAGUGAGUUAAAAGGUUACUCUCAUGCUAACCUCUAGCUUGUUUUUCCUAGAUUCUAAUUCACGGGAUCUCCGAUCACAUAGGUUGGGUUACCACUAGGGAAUAGCUUAUACGGGUCUCAAACCCAUCUCUUUGGAUGCAUUGCCUAUCACAUUGCGUGACAGCCCCUUGGUGAAUAGAUCAGCCAGAUUUUUCUCAGUGUGAACAUAACCCACAGUGAUAACUCCGGAUUUUCUUAUUUUUCUGACUGAUUUUAACCGUCUCUUCAUAUGUCUUCAAGACUUCGUAUUGUCUUUUGAACUAUCUACCUUGGCAAUUACUAUUUGAUUAUCACAGUUCAUCAUUAUUGCUGGUAAUGGUUUCUCGACAAUAGGUAAAUCCAUCAAGAGCUCACGAAGCCAAUCGGCUUCCACUGUAGCUGUAUCUAGUACUGUGAGUUUUGCCUCCACAGUAGAGCUCGUCAGGAUCGUCUGUUUGCAUGAUCUCCAUGAAACAGCAGCACCGCUAAGAGAGUAAACGUAUCCACUAGUGGCAUACAGCUCAUCUAGAUUCGAUAUCUAAUUAGCAUCACUGUAUCCUUCUAGUACUGCAGGAAAAUCGGAAUAGUGAAUCCCGUAUAUCAUAGUACCCACCGAGCAGUGCAUUACGCGCUCAAGCGCACGCUAAUGAUCAUCUCCCGGAUUACUAGUAAACCGGCUCAACUUGCUAACAGCAAAAGAGAUAUCAGAUCUCGUUGCACUCGCAAGAUACAUGAGUGAGCUAAUCAUCUGUGAAUAUCUCAAUUGGUCUCUGCCAAUUCUUGUGUUCUUUCAAAGGAUCAAGCUCGGAUCAUAAGGAGUUGGAGUAGAUUUGCUAUCCUUGUAGCCAAAGCGAUUCAACAUUUUCUCCACGUAAUGGGAUUGUGAAAGAGUAAUUCCAUUCUCUCCCUUGAUCAGCUUGAUGUUAAGAAUGACAUUAGCCUCACCAACGUCUUUCAUAUCAAAGUUUUGACACAAGAAUAUCUUGAUCUCGUUGAUUACAUCAAGACUAGUGCCAAAGAUCAGUAUAUCAUCGACAUACAAACACAAUAUAACUCCUUGACCCCAUCAUAGCGGUAAUACACACAUCGAUCAGCCUCAUUGACACUAAAACCUGCUGAUAUGAGUCUCAAGUUGAAUUUCUCAUGCUAUUGCUUAGGUGCUUGCUUCAGGCCAUACAAAGAUUUAUACAACUUGCACACCUUGUCCUCAUGACCCUCUACUACAAAUCUACUACAAACCCAUCAGGGUGUGUAAUGUAGACUUCCUCUUCCAGCUCUCCGUUGAGGGAAGCUGUCUUAACAUCCAUCUAAUGGAUGAGAAGACCAUGCGAGGCAGGUAGGGAGAGUAGAACACGAAUAGUGCUCAAUCUCGCAACAGGUGAGUAAGUAUAAAAAAAUCUUCGCUUUCUUUCUGGGUGUAAUCCUUAGCCACAAGUCGAGCUUUAUACUUAUCAAUAGUACCAUCAGGCUUAAGUUUCUUCUUGAACACCCACUUGCAACUCACAGGUUUGCAACCAUAUGGUCUUUCGACCAGCUCCUAGUUCCAUUGGAGAGAAUGGCCUCCAUCUCGCUACGGACAGGUUCUUUCCAAUCAUCCGCAUCAGGAGAUGAGAAUGCCUCAGUAAUUGUUUUGGAAGAAUCAUAUAUGAGAUAAACAGUGAAAUCAUCACCAAAAGACUUUGCAGUCCUUUGCCUCUUGCUCCUCCUAGGAGCAUCACUGUGAAUCUUCUUAUGAUUUGAUUCAAGUGUGUGUUCAUCAUGCUCAGAAAAUUUAACAGAUUCAGGAGUUGUAUUGACUAUUUCAUUCAGAGGAAUGAAAGAUAUAACAUGCGAGUCUUUUAUAGGAAAAAUAUUCUCAAAAAAAGUAGCAUCACGAGACUCAAGCAGUGAAUUUACAUGCAUAUCAGGCACCUCAGAUUUAACUACUAGAAAUUUAUAAGCAAUGCUAUGAUGUGCAUAACCUAAAAUGAUACAAUCCACAGUUUUAGGUCCCAACUUGCGCUUGUUGUUGAUUGGCACAUUCACCUUGGCCAAACAACCCCAUGUGCGCAAGUAAGAAAGUGAAGGUCUUCUCCCAAUCCACUCCUCGUAGGGAGUCUUUUUCUUAUUCUUCAUGGGAACUCUAUUUAGGACAUGACAUGCAGUCAAUAUUGCCUCCUCCACCAUGCUUUAGAUAAUCCAGCGGUGUCUACAUGGCGUUAACCAAGUCAGACAACGUGCGAUUCUUCCUUUCGGCAACCCCGUUUGAUUGGGGUGAAUAGGGAGGCGUCCUCUCAUGAAUAAUGCCGUGUUCCGUACAGAAUAAGUCAAAGUCAUUGAGAAAUAUUCAUCUCCUCGAUCGGACUAAGUCGUCUGAUCUUUUUCUCAAGUUGGGUUUGUACCUCAGCCUUAUAGAUUUUAAAGCAAAUAAGAGCCUCAUCUUUUGUACAGCAAGAACAAGUAGAAUAAGUACUGAAAUUACGAGAUGUAAUUGAAGGUCUCAAACUGAAUCUCAAUUAUGGUGGGAUUUCGCAAACAAGUGGACGGGCAUCUACAGGGAAGUAGCAAAAGCUAAACUUGCAUCUAACAAAAUCCGAGUGUUCUUGACGGCGGCUAAAGGUUAUCAAGAAGUGGAAGAAUGACCACGAGGGUGCUGGGGUCGUGUUCCAACCCUAGGACGCAUCCGACUUGGGCUCGACUUGAUACACGGCCCAUUGGGUCAAAAUAGGGUGACGCAGCACCGUGGCUGAAAAGGACUCUGUAGUAAAUCGAGGAUUGCGGUUGACUCCGAACAGAUAUGGAGGUGAUUCCGGAUCCGUUGGAAAGUAGAUUUGAUAAGCUUUCCAGGAAGUACUUGAACGACCAAAACGGAGUCCGGAUGAAGUUGUGGCGGCCAUCACAAUUCGUGCCUGUCCUGCAGUCCAAAUCCAGCCUGCGCGAUGCCUCUUCCCUUUUGAUCCAAUCCAUUGUUCCUCAGUAAAAUAAGAGUGCACGUGUCUCCAUUGUCUAAAUAUGAUGAACCUGAGCUUAAGAGUGAACUUACUUGAUGGGUAAGCCGACGAGCACGAGCGCGAGUAAUAGGAGCAAGAGGUGUUGUCGAAGUAGAUACUGAUGUAGGUGUGGAUGUAUUGUUGGUGGCGAUAUCCUUAUCAGUAAACCAGAAAAUUACCCCAACUUCUAGUGCCAUCCUCUUGAUGAGAGUAAGAGUCUCGAUACUAACAACUGGUAUCAGAGCUGUUCUAUCCUGUACCUUAAACAUCUCAUGCUCAUCUCCUUCCCACACCUCCCUUAGUCCUCAGCCGGGAGCGGGAACACCGGCUAUCCCUGCUCACCCCUCUUCCUCUGCGCAGACGGGCAGCAGCUCAUCUGAGGCAGCCUCCUCCCCACGCAGCAGCCCCCCACUAGCGCGCCAUGUCCGAAGGACAGUCUCAGCGCUCGGUCGCCUCGAGCGCGCGGCACCGGCAGGAGGCCGAGCUCGCCGCAGCAGAGGAACGCGAGCGAGUGGCGGCAGAAACCGCUGCAACGGCGGCAAGGGCGUCAAGGCUGGCGGCGGCGGAACUGGCAGCAGCAAGGGCGGAAGUGGAAGCAGCAGCGGCGGCGGAUGCAGCGCGUGCGGUGGUAGUGGAGCUCAAGGCUCUAUGCGGCAGUAGCAUCAGCAGCUCUGCCUUCGCGGACGACGGCACCGACGUGGAACUCAAACAGGCGAGGGAAGCAGCGGGAGAGCGGGUGGCGCAGUGGGCAGCCGCGCACCCCCACGGGCACGGUGGCGACAACCCAGAUGGGCGUGGACGAGCCAGUGGCACUUCUGGCAGGGACGCGUGCGGUUGCCGCGCUCCUGGCGGCUGCGGCCGGGUCGACGGAGAUCGCGGAUCUUACAAACGGCGUGGCUCUCCCUCCCUGGACCGGCGCCAUGGUCACCACAAGAUCCAGGCUGUUGUCAGGGACAUUGGCCCCGGCGGUGGGUGGCCUACCCUCACCAAGACCAACUACGUCGAGUGGGCUGCGGUGAUGAGGGUAAGGCUCCAGGUGCGGCACAUGUGGGAGGCAGUUCGGUACGGCAACGUCGACUACGACGAGGAUCGACGGGCGCUGGAUGCCCUCAUUGCUGCAGUGCCGCCCGAGAUGCAGUUCUCGCUUUCAAAGAAGCGGACUGCCAAGGAGGCCUGGGACGCCAUCGCUUAAACACGCAUCGGUAGUGACCGCGCCCGCAAGUCCACACUGUAGGCACUUCGCAAGGAGUGGGAGAAUCUGGCCUUCAAGCCAGGUGAGGCGUUGAUGACUUUGCUCUCCGCCUCAACACUCUGCUGCAGAAGAUGGUGCAGCACGGCGACGACACCUACGAUGAGGAGAGAGCUGUUGAGAAGCUCUUUCGCUGCGUCCCCGAGAAGUACAAGCAGAUCGCUCGCUCGAUCGAGUCUCUGCUAGACCUCUCCACGAUGUCGAUUGAGGCAAUAGGUCGCCUCAAGGUCGUCGACAACGAUGAGCCGUAGCCUCUCUCGGGGCCUAUCACCAUUGGUGGGAAGCUCCAUCUCACUCGGGAACACUGGGAGGCUUGCCAGGGUGACUGGAGGAGGGCUCCCCCUACUCCUCGACAGGCGGCCGCAAGCAUGGCAAGCCGCGCAAGGCGUGUGGAGGUGCCCAGGCCGGGGUGCGAGGACGCGCCCAGGGCGGCGCCGCCGGCACGCACAAGGUGGCACGAGACGAUGCCUGCCACAACUGCGGCACGGUUGGCCAUUGUGCCAGUCGACAGCCACGACGCGGCCAGGCCCACAUCGCACAGGUAGAGGAGGAGCCAGCUCUGCUUCUGGCACACGCAAGCAUCGAGGUACCUCUAGCGGCAUCGGCCACAGCGGCUCUCCUCCACCUUGACGAGCCGAGGGCACACGCCUUUCUCGGUGAUGCCUCCGACAACGACAAGACAGACGGGUGGUGCCUCGACACCGGCGCCACACAUGACCGGACGGCGGGAGUUCUUCACCGAGCUUAACUCCAGCGUCCGAGGCUCCGUCAAGUUUGGGGAUGCCUCCGGCGUGGAGAUCAAGGGCGUCGGCUCUGUCAUCUUCAUCGCCGAGUCUAGUGAGCAUAGGCUGCUCACCGGAGUUUACUACAUCCCCGCGUUAAGGAACUCUAUCAUCAGCUUGGGACAGCUGGAUGAGAACGGUUCACGCGUGGAGAUCAAGGAUGGAGUCCUGAGGAUUUGGGAUUGCCAUCGUCGCCUUCUUGCCAAGGUAACUAGAGGCACAAAUCGACUCUACGUCCUUAAUGUGCAGGUGGCACCGCCCCUCUGCCUCGCUGCUCGUCGGGACGACGAGGCGUGGCAGUGGCACGAGCGCUUUGGGCACCUUCACUUCGAGUCCCUGAAGCGGCUCAGUGCUAAGGAGAUGGUUCGAGGCUUGCCAUGCCUUGACCACAUGGAGCAGUUCUGCGACGUCUGCGUGUUGACGAAGCAGAGGCGACUCCCCUUUCCCCAGCAGACGAGCUUCCGAGCCAAGGAGCGGCUCGAGCUCGUGCAUAGGGACUUGUGGGGAGGACGACGUUACUUCCUGUUGCUCGUCGAUGACCUCUCCCGCUACAUGUGGGUGCUGGUCCUCGGUAGCAAGGGAGAAGCUGCGGACGCCAUCAGGCACACGCAGGCUGCUGCGGACGCGGAGUGUAGCCGCAAGGUGCGCGUACUAUGCACUGACAAUGGGGUGAAUUCACGGCGGUUGAAUUCGCGUCGUGCUGCGCUAAUGAGGGCAUUCAGCGCCACUACUCCGCGCCGUACAGCCCGCAGCAGAACGGCGUUGUCGAGCGGCGCAACCAGACGGUUGUGGGGAUGGCUCGGGCCCUCCUCAAGCAGACGGGGAUGCCGGCUGUCUUCUAGGGAGAGGCGGUGGUGACUGCCCUCCUCAACCGCUCGCCUACCAAGGCUCUCAAUGGCAGGACGACGUAUAAGGCUUGGCAUGGGCGCAUGCCGGCGGUCUCCCACCUGCGGGUCUUCGGCUGUCUCGUGUUCGCCAAGGAGCUUGGCCACAUCGGCAAGCUCGACGACAGGAGCACUCCGGGGGUGUUCAUCGGCUACGCGGAGGGCUUGAAAGCCUACCGCAUUCUCGACCCGGUGACACAGCGUGUGCGCACGGCGCGUGACGUUGUGUUUAACGAAGGGCGAGGAUAGGCAUGGGACAAGGCGGCGGAAGACGGCUCGACUCCAUGUUUGACGACUUCACUGUCGAGUACGUCCGCUUCGAGGGAACUAGGGGAGUAGGCAACUCCUCUUAAUCGAGCGUGCCUACCCCAGUCCCGAGCCUCCACUGAUCCCGGCGCUCGCUACACCGGCAGCGCCAUGCUCUCCAGCCACGACUCCGGCUGCGACUAGCUCUUUGCCGACAACACUAUCGUCGGCGACCCCACGCACUCCAGCACCACCAGCCACCCCUCUGGGCACGACUACUCCAACACCAGCUCGUGUUGAGCAUAGCCCGGUGGAGUUCCCUACUCCGCUCUCUGAUGACGAGGAACGCAGCGACGUGUACCACGACGGCGAGCCGUGGUGGUAUCGUACGAUGGAGGACCUUAUCGGCGACCAGCCGGUGCCGGAAUUGGUAGCUCGCGAUCUGGAGGCGCAGUUGCACCUCGCAUGCGAUGACGGCGAGCCUCGGUCUUUCGCAGAAGCCGAGAGACACGCGGCAUGGCGUGCCGCGAUGCAGUCGGAGAUGGACGCAGUUGAGAAGAACCGCACCUGGGAGCUUGCUGACCUCCCACGUGGUCACCGCGCGAUUACCCUUAAGUGGGUGUUCAAGCUGAAGAGGGAUGAAGCCGGCGCCAUCGUCAAGCACAAGGCUUGAUUGGUGGCACGCGGUUUCAUGCAGCGGGAGGGGAUCGACUUUGAUGAUGCCUUGGCCCCUGUUGCACGGAUGGAAUCCGUGCGACUCCUCCUCGCGCUGGCUGCCCAGGAAGGCUGGCGAGUUCAUCACAUGGACGUCAAGUUGGCGUUUCUUAAUGGCUAUUUGAAGGAGGAGGUCUACGUGCACCAGCCACCGGGGUUUGCGAUCCUAGACAAGGAGGGCAAAGUGCUAAGCUUGCGCAAGGCCCUCUAUGGCUUGCGGCAGGCACCGAGGGCGUGGAAUGCCAAGUUGGAUUCCACGCUCAAAGCGAUGGGCUUCGAGCAAAGCCCGCACGAGGUAGCUAUCUACCGGCGGGGCAAUGGAGGAAAUGCCCUGCCAGUGGGUGUCUAUGUGGACGUUUUGGUGAUCACCGGUACCAAGGAUGCGGAGGUGGUAGUGUUCGAGGAAGAUAUGAAGGCCACCUUCCAGAUGAGUGACCUGGGACCUCUCUCCUUCUACCUGGGGAUCGAGGUGCACCAGGACGACUCCAGGAUCACGCUUCGACAAACUGCCUACGCCAAGUGCGUCGUUGAGCUAGCUGGGCUCACCGACUGCAACCCAGCUCUCACUCCGAUGGAGGAGAGGCUGAAGCUGAGCCGCGACAGCACGACGGAGGUGGACGCUAUGCAAUACCGGCUUCUUGUGGGGAGCCUUCGCUACCUCGCCCACAAGCGGCCGGACUUGGCAUUCUCCGUCGGCUACGUUAGUCGGUUCAUGCAGCGACUGACGACGGAGCACCAACAGGCUGUGAAGAGGAUCAUCCGCUACGUUGCGGGGACUCUCGACCAUGGUCUCUACUACCUGAGGUGUCCUGGGGAGGCACACAUCGUCGGGUACAGCGAUAGCGACCACGCCGGCGACAUCGACACCAACAAGAGCACGAGCAGGACCCUCUUCUUCCUCGGCAAGUGCCUUGUUAGCUGACAGUCUGUCAAGCAGCAGGUGGUGGCUCUGUCCAGCUGCGAGGCCGAGUACAUAGCGGCCUCCACCGCUUCGACUCAGGCGCUCUGGCUCGCUCGACUGCUUGGUGAUCUUCUCGGCAGAGACACUGGAGCGGUGGAGCUCAGGGUGGACAGCAAGUCCGCUCUGGUCCUGGCAAAGAACCCCGUUUUCCAUGAACGGAGCAUGCACAUCCGGGUGAGGUACCAUUUCAUCCGAGGCUGCUUGGAGGAAAGGCGCAUCAAGGCAAGCUACAUCAACACCAAGGACCAGCUUGUGGACCUGCUCACCAAGCCCCUUGGAAGGAUCAAGUUCCUUGAGCUUUGUUCCCGAACCAAGAUGGUCCAACUUUCCCACAAGACGACGCACAAGACUUAGGGGGAGAAUGAUGGGAUAAGUCUUUGUACUGUUGGUCUUUGUGGUCCUCGGCAUGGUGGUUUUGCUGCCCCAACUAGGAUAAAAUCUUAGACUAAGCUUUUAGGACAGCAUCUUAGACUAGCUUUUAGGACAGCAUCUCGGACAACAUCUUAGACUAAGCAUCACUAGCUUCUAGACUAGCAUCUUAGACUAGCAUCUUGGCAUAUGCUUGGCUGUCUUGGCCAGCUAUAAAUAUGUAUCCCAACCCUUCAGGUUGGCCAUUGCAUUGUGUGAGAAGUAAAUCAGAAAAUUGCCGCAACUCCUAAUGCCAUCCUCUCGAUGAGAGUAAGAGUUUCGAUACUAACAUCCUCUGCCACCUUGUGAGGUUUUCGAGGUUGCUUAGAUUGCACACAACUAUAGCACUUAGAACCUUUGACAAUGGAAAAAUUUGGAAUUAAGCUCAUGGUGGAAAAUUGGAACAUAGAGCCAAAAUUCAGAUGACAUAAACGCGAGUGCAAAACAGAUGCAUCGCUCUCAUUUAUACCAUCAGAAAUUAAGUUCACGGACUUAUUACAAUAAUCUGAAACUGAAAAACGGAACAAGCCUCCGCACUCAGCCUUUACUGAUAAAUUGUCCACACUUAGACACGACAAAUUUAUUGGACUCAUCACUACUUUAAAACCAUCCCUACACAAAAGGGAGCCACUAACUAGAUUCUUGCCGAUAGUAAGGACAUGCUGCACGUUUUUCAGCUGCAUGAUCUUUCGAAAAUUAGCUUCAGAUCGACCGUGCCAAUACCAGGAACAGUAGCAUGCGAUCCAUUGCCCAUCAUCACGGUAGAAUCCCGAACGGUCUGGUAAGGAGAAAAUAAGGUGGCAUCAGAACACAUAUGAACAUUUGCACCAGUAUCAAGCCACCAACUAUUAGAUUGAAAUACUGAAAAAAUCGAAAGUAAAGAAUUAUACCCACUAGUUUCCGCUCCAGCCAUGGUGAUCUUGUUCGCAGUCUUCUGCUCAGGUGGAGGCUUCCUUCCUUUGCGGUGUGGGCACUUCUUUGCCCAAUGAUCGGUAGAUCCACACAUAAAACAGCAUUGACCUUCCUUGGACUUCUUCUUCUUAAAAGUAGUGGUAGGUUGCGGCUUGGUCUUCUUUCCCUUGCCCUUGCCUUUGCCGUGAGACUUCUCCACCAUGUUGGCACUAGUCUGCCCCUCAGCAGCCUUAGAUCGCCUAUCCUUGGCCCGAGCUUUCUCCUCAACAUCAAGGGAUGCUAUUAGAUCAGACACUGAUAUCUCCAUCCUCUUAUGUACGAGAGUAGUGGCGAAAUCCCUCCAUGAAGGAGGCAACUUGGCAAUGAUGCCACCAGCCACAAACUUGUCACGUAGGUUGAUCUUGAGGUGCUCAAGCUUCUUGGCCAUGCAUUGUAUCUCAUGAGCCUGCUCGACUACCUAUAUAACCCCGAAACGUCACUGUACAGCCGUUUGGCGUUUCGGAAACGUUUCGGUAUCCGAUACGCCUGUGAUACGCGGCCGAUACGUUUCGCCGCCGUAUCGGCGAAAUUAAAAAAAGAAAAAGACGCGAUACGUGGGCUGAAAUGUUUCACAGCAAAUUGGGCCGUAUCGGCCGGUCGGCCCAUGGAACGACUGCCCUAAGCCCCUAACGCGCACCACGCGCAGCAGCCAGCACAUCCCCUCGACCCCUCCCGGCCGCCGCUCUCUCGCCCGCGCUCCCUCGCCCGCUUGAAGCCGGAGUCCCGCCGGCCGCCGCCCGCCGAAGAGGAGCCGUCGCUCGCCGGAGAGGAGCCACCGCCUGCCGGAGAGAAGCCGCUCGGCCGCUGCCCGCUGGAGAGCCGCGAGGAGCCGUUGUCCGGACACCGGAGAAGAGCCCAAGGCACCGGCGCACCGCCGGCGCCGGCACAGGAGGCAGACAGCCAAACAGAGACAGGAGCGGCCGCCGCCGGCCAUCAGCGCAAGAUUUGGGCGUCCGGCGUCUUCCACUCUUCCCCUCUACUAGUCCACUGCACAUCUCGAGUUCCUGACUUUCUGUUCCUGAAAUCUAGCAGUAGGCAGUAGGCAGUAGGCACUAGGCACUUAGCCUGUUAGCCACUUAGGCAGUCAAUGGCAACAUCAACUCCAUCAAGCAAUGCUAGUGCAAGUGCAAGUCAAACUCGUGCAAGUGGUAGUGGUAGUGGUAGUGUAGGAUCUGUGACUGUAACAGAUCCAAGGGCUCCUCUAUGGGAUCAUGCCAAAUUUUUUUAUUCUGCAUUAUUAUUGCUAUUAUUAUUUGUUAAAAAAACUCAAGCGUAUCGGCGUAUCGGGUUUUUUGAGAAAUUGCCGUAUCGGUGUAUCCGUAUCAGCCCGAUACUGAUACGCGUAUCCGUAUCGGUGCUGCAUAGUCGACUACAGAUUUUCCAUCGGUCAUCUUGUAGUCAUGGUAUUGCUCCAUGAUGUACAGCUCAGCGCCAGCAUCUGUGCCGCCAUAGUCGGCCUCCAGGGCGUCCCAUAACUUUUUAGCGUUUGUAUGAUAGAGGUACACAUCCUGUAGACGAUCUACAAGUGUACCGAUCACAGCGCCCACAAAAAGUGUGUUGGCCUCGGUAAGGGCCUUCUCCUGCUUAGGGGUAAGAGUCUCCUCAGGUAUGCACUUGGACAACCACAAUACGUUCAUGGCAGAGAGCCACAGAAUCACUCUCGUUUGCCAUCUCUUAAAGUGAUCGUCAGAGAACUUCUCGGGACUCAGAGUAUCAACAAAUCCAGCAAUGAAACUGAAUUUCCUAUGAUAAGGUUUUUGAAUUGACGGAAAAAAUAAGAGUUUCAGUUUUAAAUUAAUCUGAAAAUAAAUUAUGACCAUGAUGAAAAUUGCGUACAGAAAACGAACAUAUCUAAACGUGCUCAUCAUGUGAUUUAAGAUAAAACAUUGCAGCAGCAAGAUCAACCCUAACCAGAUCAUACUAGGUAUGAAAGACAUAGUUAGGAACAGAAAACCGUACGUUUCUUGCCUGACCGGAAUAACCGGGUAAAGAAGACGACGGCGACGAUCAGCACCUCCACGCGCUUGACGACGACGAGUCGCGCCCCACUGACGAGGAGGAAGACGAGCCGUGGUGACGAGGACGUAGAGGACGGCGAUGUGGAAGCGUUCGAGCAGUCGCGCAGAGCGCUUCCCAAAAAACUUAUUCGCUCUCUCCCGGUGCAGGAUCGUUGAGGUCGAGGUUCUGGAGACCUGCUCUCCUGAUCGCCGGUGCACGUCGACGAACGGGACGAAGUAGCGUACGCGGCGAUGCAGCAGGCAGGUUGAGGCGCGUUGUGCGUCUUGUGUGUUAGAUUUUUUCCUGUGGCGGCACCCGCGCGUAUUUAUAAGGAGGAACCGCUAGGGUUUUUGGCGUCCCGAAAGCCAAGUCGGUUACGAGUUCCCAAAAUUCCGCGCGUGAAAUCCGUAACAGAUUCGAAGUGGCAAUAAGGAGGAACCGCUAGGGUUUUUUGCGUCCCAAAAGCCAAGUCGGUUACGAGUUCCCAAAAUUCAGCGCGUGAAAUCCGUAACAGAUUCGAAGUGGCAAAACAAAUCUGCAAAAGGAAGCCGCGUGCCCGCAAGGGUUGGACUGGAUUUUGGCGGACCAUUCACGCGCGCCCGCGCCCUUCGCCUGGAGCCCGUGCCCGGCCCGGCCUAGCGAGGCGAGGCGAGGCGAGCGAGCGCGCGCGUGUUCUUCCUUCUUCCUCUCACCCACACUUGCAAGAGCAUGGAGAGCAUCCAACUAUUUAAGUUGGGUUUCCUCCAACUCCACUAGCAAGGUGAGACUAACUUGUUGCCAUGCACCUUUGCCCUAAUGGACCUUUGACAUUUUAUUGGAAUUAUUUGGAUUUACGUGGGCUGGGCCCAAAUAUUCCAACAGGAACUCCACCUUCAUGUUCACUCAAUGGCUAGUAGUGCCGCAUCUCGAUGGGGCGAUGAUAUCCUCCGUCUGUAUGAGCGAGCUAUGGUACACUUGCAUGUUGGUGGCGGCUAUAUGGGGAAUGGUUUUAUUGUUCACUCUGAUGGAGACACCAAGCUUAUUAUGACAUGUCAGCAUGUUGUGAAGACGCUUGCCGUGAAUGCCGUGGUUCCAACUUAUUUCUCUGAGUCUUGUGGUGGUAAAACUAAUGCUAGACUGCUAUCUGCUGAUGCGGAUCGGGACCUUGCAUUGCUUCGGGUAGACGGUGUGCACAGACAGAUCAAACCUAUCUUGUUCACCGAUGAACCAACAAGACUUGGAAAUGAAGUUCUUUUACUAACCUUCUUUGAUAUGGAUGGGCCAAUUGUGGUGCGUCCAGGGAGAUAACGUAAUGGAACUUCAGAGAAUUGAAAUAACCAUUUUCUUACUAGUGCAUUCACCUAAGUCAUUUAAUUUUUGUUUCUUUUAUAAAUUGCAGGGAAGAACCGCUCGUUUUUUGUCCUGAACCUAAUUUGGUUGAGAUUAUAUGAGGAAGAUAUACAGCCAAGCUAGGAUCAUUAGGCGCGCCGGUUAUCGCGGUACCAAGUUGUGAAGCUGUUGGUGUGAAUAUCAAUAGUCAGGUGGGAAUGAAGGGCGCUGUUUCGGUCAGAACUAUCUUGGCAGCCCUUCGAAGCCACCGACCAGAUGCAGAUGUAAAUAAAACUUCACAUUUUCUUAUAGAAAAUAUCAACCCGAAUUCGAGAUUGUUGGUUGUAACUUUUCUUUUAUAGGAAAAUGCUACAAUCGCUGAGCUGCUAAAACUAAUUGCUAGAUAACUGAUUUACGAGGUAAUAUGGUAAAGGAGGUAAGUUUUCCCUCUUUUGCCCCCAUUAAGUCUUUCCUUAGCUGUAAUGUCAUUUUGAAAAUUCUGAGGGAAAAGAUAAUUUUGCUCUUCCGUAGGAACUUACUCCCUCUCGGCAAUUAACUAAUGUCAUUUAGGACAGUUUUUUAGUAGACUUGCCCACAUGUAAUUAUGUGCUUGAAGGCUUAAAUUUCAGCUUUUAAAUCUUGACAGAUUCCCAUACUCUACCUGGACUUGAGAAGGACCUAUCCACGCUAUGAGAUGGCUGAUGAGGGUUCUGGAUGUGUUGCAAAUGUAUGGCUCGGUAUAUAGUUCGUUCAGCCGGCUCAGAUGUGCCCCUAAUGAGCUUGGAACCAUCAGAGUAAUCUGUGUUUGUUCGUGAGUUUGUAAUAAGCUUAGCAACAUUCAGUGUACCAGUAGCAUGUACCAUUGACUCUGCUGCGCAGUGUCUGUGCAGGUAUUAGACAUACGGAGAUGGACUUUAUAGACCCAAAAAAAAUCGUAUUGUCAAUUUUUCAGAGGAAAGUGUUACCGAGUUAUUUUGAGAGUUAUAUGGUUUGGUUUGUUGGACUAGCCAAGUCUUUCAUAACAUUCUAUCCAGGCUAGCCUAAGGCAGGUUUUUGCAAUGCAAUGCUCAAAAAUGGCUCUGUGUUUGGUUGGAUAGAUAAACAAUUUUUGACUAAUGCAAGCUUGUGUUUGGUUGGCC
rnacentral:lncRNA from 1 species